UCUACGGAAACGGUCUCUCUCUCUCUCUCUCUCUCUCUCUCUCUCUCUCAACUUGUUCCAUUUUGUUUUCCUUUGUGAUAGGACUCCUGUUGAAAGGCAGAAAAUACAUGUCACUGAAAACCCCGGUCCAUAUGGUUUGUUUUAUUGUCGCAGAACAGUGGACGCCACCCGACAAGGCUCUAUAGGACAAUGGAAGGGUGAACUACAUUCAUAAUCAUGUGUACAUUCAUGGGAAGGAAUGGCUCAAAUAAGAGAGGGUACUUCACACGGUACCCGAAGGUUUCAGUGCAUUGGCACUGUAAGUUCUCGAGGGGAGAAACUGUAGGCCCGAAUGGACAUAUCAAGACAAGAUCGAAGCGGAAUCUGUCGGAUUUCCAUCUGCUCACACCGUCCAGUACAUUUUCGUUUGUUUCUGCAAAUUCUGCUUUUAAAGAAGACUUUUCUGUCAAGUUUUUAUCAUUGUCGCUGCCGAAUAUCAGAACACGUAUAACGCAGAG